rnacentral:rRNA from 1 species
AAAUUGAAGAGUUUGAUCAUGGCUCAGAUUGAACGCUGGCGGCAGGCCUAACACAUGCAAGUCGAACGGUAACAGAAAGCAGCUUGCUGCUUUGCUGACGAGUGGCGGACGGGUGAGUAAUGUCUGGGAAACUGCCUGAUGGAGGGGGAUAACUACUGGAAACGGUGGCUAAUACCGCAUAACGUCGCAAGACCAAAGAGGGGGACCUUCGGGCCUCUUG